rnacentral:RNase_P_RNA from 1 species
GUAGCAGACCGGUCUGCCGCUAAUUGCUUGACAGUUAGAGGAAAGUCCGGGCAACACAGGGCGCCAUGCUUCCUAACGGGAAGUUGUUCGCGAGGGCAAAGCAACGUAACAGAGAACGACCGCCGCGUUUCGGCGCGGUAAGGGUGAAAAGGCGAGGUAAGAGCUCACCGUCCGUAUGGCGACAUACGGGGCUGUACGCCUGAUGGGUUGUAAGGUCAUGUACACCGGCUUUUAGGGCUGCCCGUCCGAUGCCGGGGGGUGGACUGCACGAACUUGUCGGCGACGACAGGUCCAGAUAAAUGGCAGACAUUCCGAUUCGUCGGAAUACAGAACCCGGCUUACAGGUCGGCUGCAUCU